rnacentral:rRNA from 1 species
AUGGCCUGUGGUUUCUUUCUUUCUCAGGAAAGAUAUGUGGAGGAGCUUCUUGAUCGUGCUGCUAUGUCCAAUUGUAAGCCCGUCUUCACGCCUGUUGACACAAAACCCAAGGUCUCCUCUUCCGCUAGUGAACUUGUGUCCGAUGCCACCUUCUACAGAAGUAUUGCUGGUGCUAUUCAAUACCUCACCUUGACACGUCCAGACAUCGCCAGUACUUCUCACGAGCUUAGGAUCGCCGGCAGUUCCUCCAUUGCAAUUGCUGCUUAUUCGGAUGCUGACUGGGCUGGCUGUCCAGACACUCGUCGGUCUACUUCAGGAUAUUGCAUUUAUCUCGGCGACACUUUGGUGUCUUGGUCCUCCAAACGCCAACCUACUGUCUCUCGCUCGAGUGCUGAGGCCGAAUACCGUGCGGUGGCUAACACCGUGGCUGAAUGUUGCUGGCUUCGUCAACUUCUUGUCGAGCUCCAUUGUGUCAUUGACAAGGCUUCUGUGGUGUUCUGUGAUAAUAUAUCUGUGGUAUACCUCUCUGCUAACCCCGUUCAUCAUUGUUGGAUGAAGCAUAUUGAGUUGGACAUUCAUUUUGUAUGCGAGAAGGUGGCUUUGGGACAGUUUCGUGUUGUUCACAUCCCAACGACUCAUCAACUUGCAGACAUCAUGACUAAGGGGCUUCCUUUGUCUUCAUUCAAAGCUUUUUGA